UACGAAGGGGGCUAGCGUUGCUCGGAAUGACUGGGCGUAAAGGGCGCGUAGGCGGCUUGCACCGUCAGAUGUGAAAUUCCUGGGCUUAACCUGGGGGCUGCAUUUGAUACGUGUGGGCUUGAGUGCGGAAGAGGGUCGUGGAAUUCCCAGUGUAGAGGUGAAAUUCGUAGAUAUCGUAAGGAAGACCAGUGGCGAAGGCGGGUCUCUGGACAGUUCCUGACGCUGAGGCACGAAGGCCAGGGGAGCAAACGGG
rnacentral:rRNA from 1 species